UAUGGCUAUAUCACAUUGAAACACUGGUUCCCAUACAAUCACCAAAGUUAAGCAACAUCAAGCCUGGUCAGUACUUAGAUGGGUUACCUUUUGAGAACAGCAGAUGCUGUAAG